rfam:Capsicum annuum cultivar Zunla-1 chromosome 1, whole genome shotgun sequence
AGACUUCACAUCGAUUAUAAUGUAUUUGAAGGAAUGUUUUUUCUUAAUUUUGUUCUCAUUCAUAUUGGUCCUAUUUAUAUUAUUAAGGGCGAAGCAACCCGAAUGUUGCACCCUAGAUGGCGAAAGUUCAGUAGUUGAACGCAUCACUAGCUUAGGCUCUGACUCGAGUAACAUGAGGUACGUGGAAUCUCGUGUGAAUCAGCAAGGACCACCUUGCAAGUCU